GACGAACCGUGCGAACGUUGUUCGGAAUCACUAGGCUUAAAGGGCGCGUAGGCGGGCCACCAAGUCCGGGGUGAAAUCCUCCAGCUUAACUGGAGAACUGCCUCGGAUACUGGAGGUCUCGAGGAAGAUAGGGGCAUGCGGAACCGUGGGUGGAGCGGUGAAAUGCGUUGAUAUCCAUGGGAACUCCGGUGGCGAAGGCGGCAUGCUGGAUCUUUUCUGACGCUGAGGCGCGAAAGCCAGGGGAGCAAACGGG
rnacentral:rRNA from 1 species